CCACAUACGGUGAUUUAAAAAUCCAGUAACGAUAUCCAUAAUCACCAUGUCUCAUUUCCUUUUCCACUUCAGCAAAAGCAAGCUCAAAAUAACAUGAUCGAUAACUGAUCCUCUGUCAUAACCAUCUGACAUAGACACAAUGUAGCUACAAUCUUUUUCAUAAUAGGUCAAUGAUAGUAACGCUUUAUAUCUUUGAACUCCUUGAUAUUUUUGAUGGGUAGAGUAACACGAGUGAUGUGUUUGCUGUAAGAUCCCUUUUCUUAACAGCUUAUCUUCCAACACACAAACUCGGUUUUGAUAUAGGUGCAUCCUGCUCAAAGCUGUAUGAUAUCCAAUACUCCCAAUCUUGAUCUAUUCAACCAAAACCAUAACGCUAACAUGCGCAUGACGUAUCCUCCAUAGCAAAACUGCAUGCUCCAAUCCUCAAGGCCAUAUGUUUUUGCUUUGACAGUAACGGCACACAAUCUGAGACUAGCAAGUCUCCCAAUAAGCUCUUAAAUCUUUUUGGUUGUCGAUAUGUCGCUCAGGUUCCUACCCAAGGCAUCUGUCACAUGGUUGUCCUUACCAUAUGGUAUGCGAUAUCCAAACUGUAGCCUGCUACCAACUCAAUCCGACUGCAGUGCCCAAUUACAAUUUUUAAUGAGUAUAGAUAAAUGUUAGACUCUAAUGAUUCCAUAGAAUCUGGACUUCCUUCUCAUACAAUUACGAUCUCCAAAAUUAUAAUGCAAAUACCACUACAACCUCUCUGGCGUGAUGCAUAUGAAUGAUUUAAUCCUAUUAUCUAAAUUUAAAUCCAAGCCAGUAUCUGACACAUAAAAGUAAGCCUCAGCCUCAAUAGAACUAAAACUGGUGUCUUCAUUAGUUGUGCUUCUAUUCAGUGAAUUCUUCAAACAAAAUCUAUCCAACCACACUUAACGUCUUUACAUGUAGACCGCGUCUUCAACAUUACUAUAACGAUGAAACCUUUGAUGAACUUCCAGUAGUACACUAUUAACCCAAAAGAAUGGCAGAUAUCUGUAGCGUUCUUAGGUUUCGACCUCCCCGAAACAGUAUUGAUCUUCUUUAGAUCUAUCAAAAUUCUGCUUCCAAAACCAUGUUACCCAAAAAAAUGUCAGAAGCUACACUUCCUCCACUUAGCGAACAACUGAUGCUCUCCACGC
rnacentral:lncRNA from 1 species